rnacentral:sRNA from 1 species
CAGAGUUGUUGCUCGAUUGGAGGCAGAGUGCAGAAGAGGUGAUUGUCAAGCUUCGUGUGGGAGUAGGUCCCCUGCAGCUGGAGGAUGUAGAUGCUGCUUUCACAGAUACGGACUGUGUGGUGCGGUUUGCAGGUGGUCAGCAGUGGGGUGGUGUCUUCUAUGCUGAGAUAAAAAGCUCUUGUGCUAAAGUGCAAACCGGCAAGGGCAGUCUCCUGCACCUGACACUGCCCAAAAAGAAGAAACCUCUAGGGACCCAGGAGCUGGUGCCGGGGCUGCAGUGCCAGGAGAAUGGGCAGGAACUGUCUCCCAUUGCCCUGGAGCCAGGCCCUGAGCCCCACCGGGCUAAGCAGGAGGCCCGGAACCAGAAGCGGGCCCAGGGCCGUGGUGAGGUAGGCUC